rnacentral:piRNA from 1 species
UGAGCAAAGUCAUUGUCCAAGACCUACCCAGU